AAUUCAGACAAGCUAAAUGCAUUAAAAUAUUCGGCCCGAGAUUUUGUUUAAUUCAACACUACUUUGACUAUCGAACACGAUCUAUUUCCGCUUAUUUUUUUGUUUUGUUCGGGGGUGGGGACACGUCCGUACGCAACAACUAUUAAGAGAGUCAUACAGCCCAAUUGGAGAGAGAAAAGAACUAAUCGAGAUAACCAAAUUAGACGGUUGCUUUCUUUUUGCCUACAAGCUGUGAUUUGCACACCAACUUGCAUAUGUAUUAACUCCAUAUAAAAAAAUGUGGGGAACAAACACUUAUGCAUGAAGAUGUGCAUACUCACCACCUUUGAAAAAUGGCGGAUGUAGUCAGCUAUUCAGAGGUGUUCAAAGAAAAUUCAAACUUGUGGAUGAACAUUUUUUUCGCACUCUCAUUGUGUUCGAUUGAGGGUAAUAUCAUUCGAAUAUAAAAUUAAAUAAAUUUCUGUUGUUAGGUGCCAGAACAAAGAAGAUUCAGAAACAAUUCUAAACUACGCAUUUAGAAAAAAAUUAGUUAGUUAUUUAAAGCCAGUUUUAAUCAUUAAAGUUUAAAGACUUAAUUUUGUCGAUACGAGAGUUGCAGGAACAUUGAAAACGAGAGUUACAAAAUGUAGACAUGGAUCAUAAAAAUAACUCAACUUGUCAACUUGUUACUUCUGUUGCCAAUUUUCAUUGCAUAAGAUUCGUGAAUUUUUUAAAGGCUUAACUACAUAAGCCGAAAAGUACUUUUGUGCAAAAAUAAAAAUAUUUGUAUUCUCGCUAGGUCAUUGGUUUUGUAAAAGGAAAAUACAAAUUUGUUCUUCAACCAAAAUUUAAGUCUAAUGCAUCAUUUUUCUAAGUUUUCCAGUUUUAACUAUUUAUAUCUUACCUAUAUACAAAGCUACAAGGAAAAAUCUGUGAGGGAAAGUUCUAACUACAGUUCUUCUGAAAGUGCAUUCUGGCUUAUUCGUAGAUGUUUGCUAGACUUUUUAGGCUAUUCAUAAAUAAAUGCAAAUUAAUUUUAAGGGCUUAACCUAAAUAACUAUAAACAUAGAAAAUGCUGUGUGCAAGCAAUUACUAUCGCAAAAGCUUAAAAAGAAAUUCAUGACAAAUAAAAGUUACGUUAACACUAAGUGCCAAAAAAUAUCGAUUGAUACUGUAAUUGCAGAAGAUAUGGAUAUUUCAUAUAAAUAUUUCCGGUAAAUUGUACAACUUUAUUAUUACCGCUUUUCAUAAUAAAUUCAAUACAAAAUAAUUCAAUGCAGUAUAUUUUAAAUAAUAAAGUAGUUAAGUUAUUAGUUAAGGUAUUACUAUUAAAAUAAACAUAACAUACAUUUAUAAAAAAACAUGUACUCGUUCAUAUAUACAAAUAAAGUCUAAUCGAAGAAUCCUUAACCUUGUUACACUCUUUGUGAACACAUCUUUUCUUGUUUUGGUUGUUAAUGCCAUCUAUCUGUAACUCAGAGAAAGCGAAGUGAAAACAAAUUCACCACGAUCUACCGUUAUAACGUUCACCGUAUUUUAUUGACAAACGAAAUUUUUUUUGUUAGAAUUAAUUUGUGAAAACCAGAAAGGGAAAGAAAUGUCAAAUGUCUCAAUCUCUCAACUGAAGUUUUUUCUCUCUCUGCUCUCCGAGGUAAAAAUAUAUAUUCACCGAUACGAAUUCAACACGCUAUAAAAAAUGAGAGUAAGAGGUUUCUCUCUCUCUCGAUUAGUUGUAUCUAUUCUGCUAUUCACGUGGAUCUUAUAUUCGAUUCACCCGUUCGAUUCCCUUUCACACUAACUUUGCUAUUGACAUACUAUGCAUGGACUGCUAGUAGCGCAAAGCGCAAAGAGGGCUAUGCAGAAAAAUUGUGUAACAUUUAUGACACUUGACAUUGGAGUUUCUUUCUUUUUUUCACAUGUUUGUUUAUUUUGUGUUGUGAUUUGUAAAAACAAGUUGAGUAGAGUAAAUAAAUACAAUAAAAAGAAAAAAAAUAGUAAUUUAAAUAAUUGAAACAAAUGAAAAAAUGUUUAAUUCUGGGAUGCAUUUCGCAUCAAUUGAACAGAUAUGUGUCUUUGUUCUUGUCAGUAUAUUUUUAAAGAUCUUAUGAUUCCUAGCUAAAAUCAUGUUUUUACUAUUAUAUAACCUGGUUCUUAAAGGCGUAGUCAGUGAAGACUGGAGAAGCUAUUGAAUCUCUUAAUAGCCAGGUGAUAGAUUCAAGUCGACUGCUCCAGAAAUUUUUCAUCUGUGAUCUUCACUUCGAUAAAAAAUGUAUUAAGACGCUUGGGACUAACAAACGUCUCACAGAGGAUGCAGUUCCAAUUCUUCAAGAUCAUGAACUUGAUGUUUUUUUUGUAUUUAUUUAUUUAUCAAAAAUAAUUUUCAAAAUAAAUGUAUAAAUAAUUGAAAAAGAAGGCAAGACUAUUUUAUGCCGUUAAUAGAAAAAUAUAGAGAUAAAUAAGUUUUGAAAUUUCUUCAUAUUUGUUGUGCUCCGAUGUGCGUUCUUUAACAUUAACGAACGGAAAAUGAAUCCCUUCCUAAGGUGCCACCUCGUUACCUUCUAUACCGACAUCACUCGGAAUCCAGGCUGGAACAAUGUUGCGCUGUUUUAUAAAACACUCCGAAUAUAGUUAAGGGUUGUACAAGGAGUGUACAUAGGAUCCAUCCGGGUACAAGCAUACCACCUGUUUGUAGCCGUAAACGGAGGUUUGAGGAAGAGACGGUUACACCCAGAACGUUGAAACGAAAAUGUUUAAGACAUCAAGGCGCAAGCUAAAGUGGAAAGAGAUUAAAAUUAAAUCUUUAGAAUCCUUGCUUGACGAACUUUAAAAUAGAAAUCUCGUUUCGGAGAACUGUUCGCAGAUCCUUCAGGUAUUUGACCAAACAAAUUUAGAUUUUUAUUGCAAUAUUUUUUUAAUUAAAUAUUUUCUAUAUAUAUAUACAUAUAUAUAUACCUGCAUUUUUCAUACAUUAUAUUCGGAAGAAAUUCCACUUAACCGUACUGCACAAAUCAGGAUCGAACAAUUAAAUGUUUUUGUUUAGUGAACCGAGGAGAACGAAUGAACCAGGCUUGUUAAGUAAAUUAGAUCGGUUUGGUUUUGUUUGAAGUUAACUUUGAAAUUUAAUUUUAGUUUCUUCUUUAAAAAAAAGUACAUAAAUACUUCUUUACUUAAAAGUGAGUUUUAUUAUAAGAAUUAACACUGAAUAAACAAAAGAUUACAAAAUAACAUUUUCAUUUCGUAAUGAAUUGAACUGAACUGAUUGCAUUUUCCUUUUUGCUGCUCGGCCAUUUUGCACUAGUUUCAAUCCUUUUUUCUAGUAUUAAGAAGUAAUAAGUUAAAACGAAUACAAAAAUAAAUAAAACUUAAAUGUUUAAGUUUCUUAUUACAGAAUGAAAACGAAGAAGAAGUUUUCUUUGCAGGUCUAUGUUUU